rnacentral:misc_RNA from 1 species
UUGAUUCAUGUUUCGUUCAGACACGGGACGGCAUCACACGUGAGGACGGCGCCGGAGCGCCGAAGCACGGGUCGCUUCCGCUGUUUUGGGGGUUCGAGGGCGCCGUGCGCCUUUCGGUAAUGAUCCCUCCGCAGGUUCACCUACGGAGA